GACGAACGCUGGCGGCGUGCUUAACACAUGCAGGUCGAACGAUGAAGCUAGAGCUUGCUCUGGUGGAUUAGUGGCGAACGGGUGAGUAACACGUGAGUAACCUGCCCCGAACUCUGGGAUAACUGCUGGAAACGGUAGCUAAUACCGGAUAUGACCAAUGAAGGCAUCUUCUGUUGGUGGAAAGAAUUUCGGUUCGGGAUGGACUCGCGGCCUAUCAGCUUGUUGGUGAGGUAACGGCUCACCAAGGCGACGACGGGUAGCCGGCCUGAGAGGGUGAGCGGCCAAACUGGGACUGAGACACGGCCCAGACUCCAACGGGAGGCAGCAGUGGGGAAUAUUGCACAAUGGGCGCGAGCCUGAUGCAGCAACGCCGCGUGAGGGAUGACGGCCUUCGGGUCGUAAACCUCUUUUAGCAGGGAAGAAGCGAAAGUGACGGUACCUGCAGAAAAAGCACCGGCUAACUACGUGCCAGCCGCCGCGGUAA
rnacentral:rRNA from 1 species